rnacentral:rRNA from 1 species
GACGAACGCUGGCGGCGUGCUUAACACAUGCAAGUCGAACGGAAAGGCCCUGCUUUUGUGGGGUGCUCGAGUGGCGAACGGGUGAGUAACACGUGAGUAACCUGCCCUUGACUUUGGGAUAACUUCAGGAAACUGGGGCUAAUACCGGAUAGGAGCUCCUGCUGCAUGGUGGGGGUUGGAAAGUUUCGGCGGUUGGGGAUGGACUCGCGGCUUAUCAGCUUGUUGGUGGGGUAGUGGCUUACCAAGGCUUUGACGGGUAGCCGGCCUGAGAGGGUGACCGGGCACAAUGGGACUGAGAUACGGACCAGACGCCUACGGGAGGCAGCAGUGGGGAAUAUGGCACAAUGGGCGGAAGCCUGAUGCAGCAACGCCGCGUGCGGGAUGACGGCCUUCGGGUUGUAAACCGCUUUCGCCUGUGACGAAGCGUGAGUGACGGUAAUGGGUAAAGAAGCACCGGCUAACUACGUG